AUAAAGAUUUGUUAGGUGAGGCUCCUAUACAAACACAGGCUACUGCCCAAAAAUGUCGAGAGACGCCAAUGGGUAGAACAGGGAUUGUCGAUUACAAGGCUUUUCAUAAGGUAGCUAAAAGCUUUUAUGCUUUUUACGUUGUAUAGUGCCAAAACUCAACGAUUAGAUCAUAAG
rnacentral:sRNA from 2 species